ACAUUAUUUUUCAAAUACUAGAAAAAAAGAUCUGCACACUGUUAUUCUCCCUUUAUUCAAAAAAGUUAAAAAUAACAACGUUUC